GAUCUGGUCAGGUGGUCUGCCUCCGGUACGUACUGCCUUGGUCGGGUCUUUCCUUCUGGUGACGCUUCAUGCCCUUAAUUGGGUGUGUCGAGGAUCCAGGACUUUUACUUUGAAAAAAUUAGAGUGUUUAAAGCAGGCUUAUGCUUGAAUAUAUUAGCAUGGAAUAAUAAAAUAGGACGUGUGGUUCUAUUUUGUUGGUUUCUAGGAUCGCCGUA
rnacentral:rRNA from 1 species